rnacentral:lncRNA from 1 species
UUGACGAUGAUGUCAUCUCCUUCUCCACUGUAAAAUACUUGCUUUAAAUUGUUAGGUUCACGAAUCUCCAUCUCUUCCAGGUUCUGAAAACUUGGAGACACGGAGACAGGGAAGACAUAUUCCAGAUACUGACAGGAAACUAUACAAAGAGUUUUUAAUUUUGGGAAGCCAAUAGACUCUGGAAUUAUUUCCCCUUCGUCAUCCUUCUCUCUGAUAAGACGCUUCAAUCCACCGCAUUCUUUUAUCUGUAGUGUUUCCAGAUGAAUAAGACUUUGAGCGAGGGACGGUGUGAAGAUAAAUGUCAGUUUGUCAAGAGACGACAACUCCAGAUGAAUAAGACUUUGGAGGCUGACAAGUCUAGUGGGCCCCUUCCAUAUACAUUUGAGCUCAGGUAAAUAGCACAGCCGUAACGUUGUUAAAGAUGAUAGCAGCGGCAGCUCCUUUUCCUCACUGCUUCCUUCAUCAGCCUCACUCAAUUUCCACACUCCUUAGAUUUUUCAAAGCUUGCCGCCAUUUUGCUGGAAACAGAGUGCGAAUAUCCCCACAUUCUUUCACUUCUACAUGUUCUAAUCUUUGUAAGAAGUCCUUUUGCGACCAAUGGCCGUGGGAGGUCAUCUGAUCAGAGGACAAUACUAUAUUUCUUAAACCCUUCACUCUCCAAAAACAAAUAUGAGACACGGUAGGAAACAACUGCUCAAAUGUCGAGGUUGGGUAUACUCUUUUUGAAUACCCAUUCCCUAACACUAUAUCAUAUUUGAGCAAGCUGGGAAAAACAAAAUCUCUGGGAAUGCAUUCAACCUUCGGUAUCUUCAAUGAUAAUACAGCUAAAUGAGACAGCGAACUUAGCUCUGUUAGGCUUGCAUUCAUUCCUUCUGUGCUCUCACAUCCAACAACAUCCCAUCCCUUGAAGCUGAAAUCCCCGAUCAGCAGUUCUUCUAACUUCUUCAACCUUCCUAUCAAAUUCACAGGAAUCCUUCUUAGAUUUUUACAACCUGUCAAAUCCAACAAACUUAACUCCUUGAGCUCCCCAAUUUCAUCAGGUAAUUCUUCAAUGGAGCAGCACCACCUGAAAACAAGAAUCCUAAGUCUUUGCAGCUCUCUCAACCCAAUGAGGUCCUUGCACUUACACCUUCUCAACAGCAACGACUGAAGGUUCGUUGAGAAUUGAAGUGAUUGCAAUGACAAACACCCUCCCUUUAGAGACAAAACUUCUAUUGCUUUCAUCCCUUCAAAAAACCUCUCUGGAACAUUCAAAUCAUCAUCCAGUUCUAAUAAAAGAACUUUGAGCUGUGGACACACCAAUCCUUCAGGAAGUUCUGCUAGUUGAUUGCCCAUUAACGAAAUUGUUGUAACACUAUUAUUUACACUCUUCCACCCAUUGCCAGCACUUACCAUGAAUCCAUAUUCUUUAGUUGCUAUGUCAAUAGCAACUUCACGAAACAAGUCAUGCAUUUUCACAUUUUCUUCACUUUCAGUGCCCAACAGCAUACACCUAUCUUUGAGGGCUUUCAUCUCCGCAUAAACUUGUUCCCUUGCAUCUUCAAUGGACUCCGCAUCUUUAUGUAACCCAUAGCCAACUGCGUAUCUCGUCAAGUCCUCAAUUGGAAUGCUGUAAUCUUCUGGAAAUGAACAGCAUAGCAAGAAACAUAACUUGGUUUCCUUGGACUUCAAAUAAUCGUAGCUCAACUUAAGACAUGCAUAUGGAUUACUUCGGUCAUCAACGUUUUCCAUGUGCCGAGAUUGAGAUUUUUUGAGGUUUUUAGAUGCUAAUUUCCACUCAUUUUUAGAUUGAUCUUUUAGAGCCCUUCCUACUGCCUUAAGUGCUAAAGGCAAUCCUUGGCAUUUUCUCACAACCUUCUCUGCAACACCGUUCAAGUCAGAGUCCUCAUCACUUAAACCUGCGUUGCUUUUGAAUAAAGCCCAAGCUUCAAUUUCAGUAAAGGGACUUAACAACACUUUUUGCUGGCACGCCAAAUAAGAACAUAGUUCUUGAUUACGUGUUGUUAGAAGAAUUUUACAACCCCUGUGAUCAUCACCAAAUGGGAUCCCUGUCUCUUGGAAGUCAAUAUCUUUCCAAACAUCAUCCAGGACUAUAAGCAACUUCUUUCCAAACAUAAUUCAUUCAUUUGCUCUCCCUUCUUUACUCUUUUUGACAAAAGUCAAAUCUAAACGAUCUGCCAUUUGAUCCUGGAUGCCUGUGACAUUUGGAUUCUGGGACACCGUAGCCAUCAAAACUUCAUCAAACAACUGCAACUCUUUGGCCAACCUGGCUACUUGUUUCACCAGGGUGGUUUUACCCACCCCUCCCAUGCCGUACAGUCUGAUCAUAUUGAUCUUGUCAUCUUUGAGAGCUUUCAUAAUCUGUUUGAAAGCUUCUUCUGACAAUCCUGAGAGUGUGAAUUCCUUUGAUGGAAGAAAUUUUAUCUCUGGAAGAGGUGCUUUGCAGGAAACUGUUGUAAACUUUGUGCUAGUUUCUUGAAGUUUUCUGAAAGUCUCCGACUUCUUGGCCAGUGCCAUGCUUAACUUGAAUUGUCGCUUGCAGUUUGGACACCAAGUAAAGCAUUUGCCAUUUUUUUCUAUUUCAUUUUCCAAAGGCUUCGCACCUUCAAUUCUGUUGUUUGCAUCUUCCAGCCAUUCGAUGACAUCUUUGUAAAUUUCUUCAGCAUUCCUUUCAGCAACUCGGACAGCAUCUUGCAGACGAUCUAUUACCGAAACCAGGUGCUCCUUUUGUUCUUUG